AUUGAACGCUGGCGGCAGGCUUAACACAUGCAAGUCGAGCGGUAGAGGGGAGCUUGCUUCCCUUGAGAGCGGCGGACGGGUGAGUAAUGCCUAGGAAUCUGCCUGGUAGUGGGGGACAACGUUCGGAAACGGACGCUAAUACCGCAUACGUCCUACGGGAGAAAGUGGGGGAUCUUCGGACCUCACGCUAUCAGAUGAGCCUAGGUCGGAUUAGCUAGUUGGUGGGGUAAAGGCCUACCAAGGCGAAGAUCCGUAACUGGUCUGAGAGGAUGAUCAGUCACACUGGAACUGAGACACGGUCCAGACUCCUACGGGAGGCAGCAGUGGGGAAUAUUGGACAAUGGGCGCAAGCCUGAUCCAGCCAUGCCGCGUGUGUGAAGAAGGUCUUCGGAUUGUAAAGCACUUUAAGUUGGGAGGAAGUUCAGUAAGUUAAUACCUUGUUGAAUUGACGUUACCGACAGAAUAAGCACCGGCUAACUCUGUGCCAGCAGCCGCCGUAAUAC
rnacentral:rRNA from 1 species